GUGGGAGGGGGCUUGCCCCCGAUGGCGGUGGGUCAGCCAGUAUCCAUUUAUCUGAACCACUGCUAUCGGGGGCAAGCCCCCUCCCAC
rnacentral:misc_RNA from 1 species